rnacentral:lncRNA from 10 species
AAAAAACAGGAUCUCAGUUCUCCUUUCUUGUAAAGAAAUAUCAUUUGUGGCAGGCGUCAACCCCAUUUUAUUUGUCCUUAUUCCUGUGGAAGCAGUAUAUGUUUUCUUCCUGAAUGCUCAUUAGGACUUCUUAAAAAACAUGAAAGUAAUUUGGAAGUAAGUUUAUCCAAUAAAGCAGUAUUUCUACCCUUUUAGAUUUGAUAAAUAUUUUUAUUACUAAAGAAUCUCCCCAGACAUUUUCUUUUUUUUUUCACACAUAGAUUUAAGUAUCUUGAUUGUUAGUAGUCUAAAAAUGGGAAGAAUGAAAAAGCAUAACUAGAUUUUUCUAUCUUCUGUGGUCGCCCGCCCCCCCCCAAAAAAAUACCAUUUAUGGUUCUCUCCGCAAGUAUAAAAGCAUUACAUGCAAAAAAAAGAUCUCAGAGAAAACAAAAGUAAAAGAAAAGCAGAAAAUCACCUGUUAUCUACUCCCAGAAAUAAUCAAUUUCAACAUUUUGGUAUAUGUUUUUCCAGGCUUCUUUGGGUUGAUCCCACCUAUGAGAUCAGAAUAUGUAUGCAGUUCUUUCUUUAACCCUUUUUUCUCCUAUGUACUGUGAACAUUUAAAAAGUACUUUUAAAUAUUCUUUGGAAACUUAGCUUUUAGUAACUACUUGGUUGUAUCAUAAUUUAUUAACUAAUGUUUUAUUGGUAAACAUUGGCUUGCCUCCCAUGACUUGCCAUUAUAAUUAAAACUGUGACUACUAUCUGUCUCCAUUACAU